GUCAGGAUGGCCGAGUGGUCUAAGGCGCCAGACUCAAGGCUCUGCUUUCCCUGCCCCGGGGUUUUCUGGUCUCCGAAUGGAGGCGUGGGUUCAAAUCCCACUUCUGACA
rfam:Balearica pavonina gibbericeps contig91616, whole genome shotgun sequence.